CCUACGGGUGGCAGCAGUGAGGAAUAUUGGUCAAUGGACGAGAGUCUGAACCAGCCAAGUCGCGUGAAGGAUGACUGUCCUAUGGGUUGUAAACUUCUUUUGUAAGGGAGUAAAAGAAGCCACGCGUGCCUUUCUGCGUGUACUUGAAGAAAAAGGAUCGGCUAACUCCGUGCCAGCAGCCGCGGUAAUACGGAGGAUUCGAGCGUUAUCCGGAUUUAUUGGGUUUAAAGGGGGCGUAGAUGGGUAGUUAAGUCCGUUGUAAAAGUUUGCGGCUCAACCGUAAAAUUGCAAUUGAUACUGGUAGUCUUGAGUACAGUUGAGGUAGGCGGAAUGCGUGGUGUAGCGGUGAAAUGCUUAGAUAUCACGAAGAACUCCGAUUGCGAAGGCAGCUUACUAAAGUUUGACUGACAUUGAUGCACGAAAGUGUGGGUAUCAAACAGGAUUAGAUACCCGGGUAGUC
rnacentral:rRNA from 1 species